rnacentral:misc_RNA from 1 species
AAGUCGUAACAAGGUUUCCGUAGGUGAACCUGCGGAAGGAUCAUUAACACGUUUCAUACGUUUGAUUUUUGUAUCAUCCACACCAAACCGUGUCACAUACCUGUUGUGAUUCGCAUCUUCGGAUACGGAUCACUUGAGGUCAUACUCGGCAUCUCGAUUGACUUCGGUCAGCCUUGACGUCUUCCAAUCUCUUUUUUCACCCCUAACUAUUGACUCACCUACCAACCCCAAGUUGACUGAUCAAUUGUGUCGAGCAGAUGGUUGAGCAGGGCAGACGAGUUUUCGGACUCUCUACCUCACUCCCUCUCUUUGACCGAACCAUAUGGAUGUUUCCAAAUGAGUUUAAAAUACAACUCUUAGCAAUGGAUAUCUUGGUUCUC